CUUACAAUGUAGCCAGUCUCCAAAGGCUGCCCCUAGAAUAAAAACAAAACAUUGCAUUAGUUUAUAAUGAUUGCAUUUUAAAAUACGUUUAGGUUGAAUUAUUUUUUGUAUUAAAAGCGGGAUUCAAAGUGAACUACUUCACUCAAAGCCAACAGUUGAAUUGCAGAUCUAAUAGCAUGUGUGCAAACCAGUUUAACCUGCUCAUUUUCUGGAUUUACAGGUCAUCAGCUCCCAGAAAGGUAAACAUAGGUGGAUCAAGAAUAAGCUGUACGUGUAACAUGACGAAGAUGAAGCUGCUGGAAUAGCUGUGUGGGGCUCCCUCCUCCGGCUCUGACAGUGGCCCUCCACCGUUCUCCUCAGGCCCUCGCUUCCCCUUGUUCCUCCUUCCAAGCAUAUCUGUGCGCUGACUGGGCUUCAGGGAACAGUCCAUCUGAUGAGUAGAAAAAUAAUCUCUGUUUACAGGAGCGUCAAAAAGCACGAAUGUGGAUGACCAAGGCCAAAGACCACAGCUUAACUACAAUUAAUGACCUGCCAGGACGAACGUCAGCAAAGUUUCUACUCUGAGGGAUCAUAAAAAUAGAAACACUUGAAUGGUGUAAUGCAGAAGGAAUGAUAUAGUACUACUUAUGCAGACACUCAGUUAUGAGGUAUAUUUAAGAGGUGUUUGAAGUUAAUCUUUGUUUUUUUAAUGUGAUGUCUAUACAUAAAUAGCAUAAAAUUGUUCAUUUAAAGAGCACAAACUGCCAAAAUAAACAAUACUCAAAGCCACAAAAAUGUAAUAUUAGAAAGCAGAACUGUCAUUCUGUCUUAGCUACACCAGAACACGAGUGAAGAAACCUGAAAAGUUGCAGGACGAUGUGGUCGUAUUUGAGCAGCGUUUCUGUAUUUCCCUGCAUUUUCUCUAUAAACAGCGGGGCUAAGUGCAUCUGUAUAGUCAAACUGGCCAAGUGCUUGUCCUAAUUUGUGUUUCGUUUUGAAUUCUGUCUUAUGUUGCAGUGCACCAAACUUAAGCAAACGCAGCCAGGCCACGAGGAAAGACAACCGGGUGCAUCAAGAGGCAUAAAAAUAAACUGUGUAUGUCUAUUGUAUAUGUAAGAAACAAUGAGCUGAACACAGUAAAUCUCGAAAGAUACAGCUGACUUUUUCAGUUGUUGGUAUGAUUCAUUAAAAAAAAUGUAUUUACA